UACGUAGGGUGCAAGCGUUAAUCGGAAUACUGGGCGUAAAGCGUGCGCAGGCGGUGAUGUAAGACAGAUGUGAAAUCCCCGGGCUCAACCUGGGAACUGCAUUUGUGACUGCAUCGCUGGAGUGCGGCAGAGGGGGAUGGAAUUCCGCGUGUAGCAGUGAAAUGCGUAGAUAUGCGGAGGAACACCGAUGGCGAAGGCAAUCCCCUGGGCCUGCACUGACGCUCAUGCACGAAGCGUGGGGAG
rnacentral:rRNA from 1 species